GGCGAACGCUGGCGGCGUGCUUAACACAUGCAAGUCGAACGAUGAAGUUCCUUCGGGAAUGGAUUAGUGGCGAACGGGUGAGGAACACGUGAGAAACCUGCCCAUCAUUCUGGGAUAACACCGGGAAACCGGUGCUAAUACCGGAUACUCCAUCGCGGCGGCAUCGCUGCGCUGGGAAAGAAUUUCGAUGAUGGAUGGUCUAGCGGCCUAUCAGCUUGUUGGUGGGGUAAUGGCUCACCAAGGCGACGACGGGUAGCCGGCCUGAGAGGGCGACCGGCCACACUGGGACUGAGACACGGCCCAGACUCCUACGGGAGGCAGCAGUGGGGAAUAUUGGGCAAUGGACGCAAGUCUGACCCAGCGACGCCGCGUGAGGGAUGAAGGCCUUCGGGUUGUAAACCUCUUUCAGUGGGGAAGAAGCGAAAGUGACGGUACCCAAAGAAGAAGCACCGGCUAACUAUGUGCCAGCCGCCGCGGUAA
rnacentral:rRNA from 1 species